GACGAACGCUGGCGGCGCGCUUAACACAUGCAAGUCUAGCGAAGCGGCGGACGGGUGAGGAACACGUGAGUAACCUGCCUUAGACAUUGGGAUAGUCUCGGGAAACCGGGAGUAACACCAAAUGGUCUAAGAUGGACUCGCGUGCCGUUAGCUAGUUGGUGAGGUAACGGCCCACGAAGGCGACAAUGGGUAGCCGGCCUGGGAGGGUGAACGGCCAUAUUGGAACUGAGAAGCAGUCCAAACGCUGCGGGAGGCAGCAGUGGGGAAUAUUGCACGAUGGAGGGAACUCUGAUGCAGCGACGCCGCGAGAGCGAAGAAGGCUUUCGAGUCGUAAAGUUCUUUUAUAUGGGACGCGGUACCAUAAGAAAAAGCCCCGGCUAACUACGUGCCAGCCGCCGCGGUAAUUC
rnacentral:rRNA from 1 species